GCUUUCUGCCGUUUCCACUCUGAGAUAACGAGCGGAGCUUGCCGGAGAACGACCGAUCCUUGCAAGAGCGAGAGAAGAAUCACCCAAAGGAUAGAGGGUGGUAGUAACCAUCCGAGUGACAACAAUCCAUCGCUGCCGCCGCGGUCAGUUCCGAUUAUUGUGCCGUGGUGGGCUCCCUGUGUUGGUGUGUCUGGAGAGCAUUCCAGUUGGAGUCUGAAGAACGGAUACUGGUGAAGAAGAUGAAGAAAUAAGAAGAUAACGGUGCACAGAAGGAGCAAAAAGAAAAGUGUGGGUGAUAAAGGGAACAGACAGUUUUCGUUUUGACAUAUAUACUUAUCGAGAAAGGACACAACAGGCGAUGCCCAGCGAGAAAGGUAUCUCCCAGUCGAGGAAAGUGCCACGUGAAUAAUUUAGAGUGUACGAUUGCUCUUUUAUUUUUAGAAUAUCGUGAAAAACUGUGAAAAGCUUAGGGAUUUGUGCGGUUUCUGAAUUAUAGAAAGGGAUAAAGAGUUUUGUAUUUACCUACAAAUAACAAGUGCGGGUCUCAAAUAGAGUGUGUGAGUGAGAGUUAAGGGAGUUUAGAGGAGCCAGAACAGACGAAGGAUACGGAAAGUUGGGUGGGGAUGAGGUGGUCCACCGUCCUAGCUGUUUUCGUCGUUGUCUCUAAACUGUAUUCAGACAGCGCCAGCAAAGUGGACGAAACCAGGUGCUGCAAUCUGCUGAUUGGCCGCUGUACCAACAAUGAGGAGUGGUAGCUCAGAACUUCUGCUCGAACAACAAGCAGAAGAGCUACGAAAGAAAAAGCUGCUGGAACUAGCGGCUGCCAAGAAAGCAAAAAAUGGUCCCGCACCGAAGCGAACGCUGCGCGAAAAUGCCAGCUUCUAUACGACUUCCAGUUUGGCGUUCCUCUCGGUGACAGCCGGAGCUUCGCUGUUAUUCCUGGUUCCUCUCUAUGUCGAUCCGGCGAUCUCGACGCUGGUCGGCGACUUCGUCGAGCAGCCCACAAUGUGUGUUACGACGCGGCGCGAAGAUAUGACCGGGCUGUUCAACUGCUCGUGGAGUUCGUGUCGCGAAGGUUGCACCUCGGAUGUGUUCAAGUGCACUCAUAUCUAUGUGACGUUCAUCGACGAUCUGAACUUUACGUUCCCUUUUAAUGCGACGCCCUCGGAGCUGUUCAAUCUGACCGAUAUCGAGCGAUCGGAGGAAGCGAUCCUUUUGGUGAACAUAAAAGGCUGCGGUUACCCACCGACGGUCAAGUGCAAAAACUUCACCGAUCUGUACGGCUUCGAGGGCGCAGUGUUUCCAUGUUACUACUCGAAGCAGAAUAAAACGGUCGUGAUGACUGCGUACAACCGGGAGGAGCAGUUGCAGACGAUCAUACACUUUUUCGUGAUUCCAUUCAUCAUUACGGUCGUCUCGUCGGUGUUUCUUUGCGUAAUGCACUGUGAUUGUAGAUGUAAGAAGGAGCGACGACGACGGCAUCGACACCGACGGCCUAGGAUAGAGAAUCUAAGUGAUUCAUCGAUAUCGACCCGAGUCGAUAUGCUGACGCCCGCGAUCGAAGUAUACAAACCACCCCUCUGACACAAGGAUGACACCCUGGAGAGCAACCUCGGCAAUCCAUCGACCAGUAGCGAUCUAUGACGAGGUGCACUGUUGCUGGCGGUACGCCACUGUUGCCUGAACUAGUAGCGAGGCUCUUCCCCACCACAGCACGUCAUCUUGUGAGCGUACCGUACAUCGAACGUUACUUUCCGAACGAUGGUGAUCCGCUUCAUCAGGUGAAUCCUGCCGCCCAUCGGUGGUAAGUUUUGCCAAGGUAAAGAUGAGGACGACUGAGCCGAUAAAAUCAUUUAUGGGCUACCAUCGAAGGUGGACAGCUGAACAGCCAGACACACACGACUAUCUAACAGUUCAGCACCAUUGCCGAUUACCGACAACAGUAGCAGCAUGAAGAUGAAAUAGAAGCAUACAAUCUAUGUAAGCUAGAGUCACCUGAGAAGAAUGGCGUAAAACAUAGCAAAAAAUAACAGCAGCAGUAGCGAGUCUAUAAAACAAAAAAAAAAGAAACUGUCUCUUCUGGGUGUCAAAUUAAGCAGCAAAUCGAUCUAAUAGGAUUAAAUUCAAUUGACUAAAGAAAUGGAUAUAGUCGAUAACAGAAACAGAGCUAUAAACUAAGUAGCAACACUAAGUAAAAUCCCAUGUAAGUUAAAUCUAUACAUACCCACACAAACGUACCGUACACACAUACAGAGAAACCAAUCUUACAUAUACGACAGGAGUAACUCGCAUCGGACGAGUAUAGGAAUGAUUUGUGAACUGACAAGGAGAAGCGUACAUCCGAAUAGCAAAUAAUCUAACCGUAAGAGGGAAAAUUAGUCUAAGUAGGAUUAAACAAGGUAAACCGUAGGAUUUAAAAUUAUACACAAUUGGUUUGGGCUAGCUGCGAUGGCUGAGGGCCGCAGGCGAAUGGGUUACGUGAACUAUUUUGGAAUUGAAUUGAGCGAGGUUUUUGUGCAAUGUUAUCAUUUGUUACAUUCGUUAAUCAUUUGGCGAAUGUGAAAACGCUCAUGUCCACUCAUGGUUGAUUAGAGCUUGAAUAUUAGGGUUAUUAUGGAGACUCAAGAUUUGGCAAUUAUAUUUCUAACCUCUAGCCAAACUCAGGCAUAUUACACAAUCUCUGUUUUCAUAAAAAGAAAAUUCGUGUGUGUUUAUUUCUCUUUAAGAAACAUAGUAAUAUUUAUUUGAACUCCGAUGAUCUUCUCUAUUUUAAUUCAUAUUUGUACCAAUAUGCUUGUUUGAAUAAAAUUAAUAUUUUAUUAGUUAUUGUGGAUAUGCAGACAUGGGUUUGACAUGCAGCACAAUCAUGAUAAAACCAACAAUGUUGAUACUGCUCAAUCGCUAUGUUACAGCCGAACAAUAGUAAAAUAAUUCACAUGUACCAUCGCCGGAUGUAUUAUCACAGAUAAGCACACAUUAUUCUUCGAACAUCGAAACUAUCGCAAAAACAUGUUCACCCUAUGUUGAUCAUCAUCAAGUGGAAACCAGGUGGAGAUAGUGCGCUAAUUUUUAACUCAUAUAAAGUCGGUACGAACGGGUCGUCGACCACUAAACCAUGGCAACAAAACGAUUAUCGGAAUUCACGUGAUGCAUUCUCAUGAUGAGUAUUCUCUAUGACUGUCACGUUUGCUUAUAUGUGAUAAAACUUGAAAUCAUCAUCCAGCUAGUUAUAAACUUAAUAAAAAAAACAACAACAUCAAGAGAUUCAUACGCAAAGACAGCAAAACAGAAAACCCCAUUCGUUCUAAGUUUUCUUUAGUGGUAGCGCAUUUGAGAACAUAAGUCGGAAAAUAAUUAAUUAACUCGAAACACAUUUCAAAGAAACAAUUAGGCAAGCAAUCGAAAUUUUAUUCCCAAUCUCGGUAAAAUAGGAUACUCAAAAUCGGAGGAAAAGUCUCUGCAAUUGGCGAGAAAACUGAACAAAACAGCAAUAAUUACAAUUGGUCACAUACUUUAUGUAGCAAAAUUUUCAUUCUUAGGUUUUAAAACGAAUUUCACGUUCACAUUAGUUGCCGAGUGCGCUUCAAACUGCUAAUAAUUGUGCGCGUAGUAGAGUUACAUAUGAGGGAAACGAUGACCAUACAAAAUCAGUGUAAGAGCAGCGAAACCGGAUUAGUUUCUUUCAUCAAGAUCGAUGCAAUUAAAAGCCUUUGAACACUAGAAA